GAUGAACGCUGGCGGUGUGCCUAAUACAUGCAAGUCGAGCGAACAGACGAGGAGCUUACUCCUCUGACGUUAGCGGCGGACGUGUGAGUAACACGUGGAUAAUCUACCUAUAAGACUGGUAUAACUUCGGAAAACCGGAUCUAAUACCGUAUAACAUGCUGAACCGCAUGGUUCAACAGUGAAAGACGGUCUUUCUGUCACUUAUAGCGGGAUCCGCGUCGCAUUAGCUAGUUGGUAGGGUAACGGCUUACCAAGGCAACGAUGCGUAGCCGACCUGAGAGGGUGAUCGGCCACACUGGAACUGAAACACGGUCAAGACUCCUACGGGACGCAGCAGUAGGGAAUCUUCGGCAGUAGGCGAAAGCCUGACGGAGCAGCGCCACGUGAGUGAAGAAGGUCUUCGGAUCGUAAAACUCUGUUAUUAGGGGAAAACAAAUGUGUACGUAACUAUGCACGUAUUGACGGUACCUAAUCAGAAAGCAACGGCUAACUACGUG
rnacentral:rRNA from 1 species